rfam:Paenibacillus wynnii strain DSM 18334 unitig_0, whole genome shotgun sequence.
CUUGAACAAAGGCAAACCCGUACGAAAGUCGGGGACGCAAAGCCACGGGCCUUCCGUCAUGAUUCUAUCAUGACCUGGCAGCCGGGUUACUCAA